UCUCAGGGUCUCUGCCCUUUGGUCCUACCCAGCAGAUCGAGUGCAGAUAUAUCUAGACAGACUUGCAGAAGCAGAAAUGGCUCAUCCUCAAUCUGGAGCUUCUCAUGACUUUCCAGAAGAAAUGUCAACAUCCAUUUGUUUGGGUGAGGCUUGGGUGAGCACGCCAAGACUACCUCAGAGGACUCUCUUUAGAUGCACUUGUGAGUCUGUCCUUCUGCACCAAGUCACCCACAAGCUGGCUCUUCUGAUGCUCCAAAGCUGCCCUUGGCCCCCUGUAUAGCCUGCAGAGCUACUGUGCAUCGGACUCCAUCCUGGGCAGGACUGAGGUCUCUUCAGUCCCCCCUUCCCACUCAGCAGCCAAUCCAGGGCCAGGGUGGGGUGUUCAACUGAGCCCCCACCUUUACAGUUUUACAUAAAUUUCAUCAGAACCCUUUGAUCCAACUUCGGUUUACUUCUCCCAGAUGUUGCAAAACAGCUGUCUUGGCUGCACUUUUAAAAAUUGUCUUCCCAAUGUCCAGUGUAAUUCUUGGCACUC
rnacentral:lncRNA from 1 species